rnacentral:rRNA from 1 species
GACGAACGCUGGCGGCGUGCUUAACACAUGCAAGUCGAACGAAGAGCGAUGGAAGCUUGCUUCUAUCAAUCUUAGUGGCGAACGGGUGAGUAACGCGUAAUCAACCUGCCCUUCAGAGGGGGACAACAGUUGGAAACGACUGCUAAUACCGCAUACGAUCCAAUCUCGGCAUCGGGACUGGAUGAAAGGUGGCCUCUAUUUAUAAGCUAUCACUGAAGGAGGGGAUUGCGUCUGAUUAGCUAGUUGGAGGGGUAACGGCCCACCAAGGCGAUGAUCAGUAGCCGGUCUGAGAGGAUGAACGGCCACAUUGGGACUGAGACACGGCCCAGACUCCUACGGGAGGCAGCAGUGGGGAAUCUUCCGCAAUGGACGAAAGUCUGACGGAGCAACGCCGCGUGAGUGAUGACGGCCUUCGGGUUGUAAAGCUCUGUUAAUCGGGACGAAUGGUUCUUGUGCGAAUAGGGCGAGGAUUUGACGGUACCGGAAUAGAAAGCCACGGCUAACUACGUA